AAAAAUCUAGUUAAUAAAUAUAACAUAGGACUGUCAGCCCUAAAUUGCUUAAUAAAGCGAUUUUUA
rnacentral:tRNA from 1 species